rnacentral:rRNA from 1 species
UGUUGCGGGUAAAAAGCUCGUAGUUGGAUUUCUGUCGGGAGAGGGUGGUCUGCAUUUCGUGCACGUAUCUACCACUGUCCCGGCAUCCGGAAGUUUAAGUUUGUUGCUUCACUGCAAUAAGCGUAGGCUUCUCUUUUACUUUGAGGAAAUUAGAGUGUUCACGGCAGGCUUUCGCCUUGAAUACAUUAGCAUGGAAUAAUAAUAUAGGACUGCGGUUCUAUUUUGUUGGUUUCUAGAGCUGCAGUAAGGAUUAAUAGGGACGAUUGGGGGCAUUCGUAUUAUCACGUCAGAGGUGGAAUUCUUGGAUUGUGUUACGACGAACUACUGCGAAAGCAUUUGCCAAGGAUGUUUUCAUUGAUCAAGAACGAAAGUAAGGGGAUCGAAGACGCUUAGAUACCGUCGUAGUCUUUACCAUAAACUAUGCCGACUAAGGAUUGGAGGUCGUUUUUUUCUCGACUCCUUCAGCACUUUAUGAAAACUCAAAGCUUUUGGGUUCCGGGGGGAGUAUGGUCGCAAGUCUGAAACUUAAAGGAAUUGAC